AACGCAAAUAACGGCCAAUCACGAACAAUCACUACAGCAUCCUAUCGAGGUUGAACCUUUUCUUUUAUUUCGAUAAUUGGAUGGCGUUCUGACCCAUGACAAUUGGGAUACGAUUGUUUGUUCUAAUUUUGAGAAGAAAUUCUUCAAAGUUAGUUCGAUAAGUAUUGGACUGAAGAACAAAGAAUUUGAUCUUGGGUGCAGUGAUUCAUCUGAAUUUCUUAGUAUUUUCUAAGGUUUGACCUUCGUGUCGCCGAAUGAGAAUGACUGCAAGGAUUGAAUCGACAUAU
rnacentral:snoRNA from 1 species